rnacentral:rRNA from 1 species
UUUGUGACAUACCUAUAACUGUUGCUUCGGCGGGCAGGGUCUCCGUGACCCUCCCGGCCUCCCGCCCCCGGGCGGGUCGGCGCCCGCCGGAGGAUAACCAAACUCUGAUUUAACGACGUUUCUUCUGAGUGGUACAAGCAAAUAAUCAAAACUUUUAACAACGGAUCUCUUGGUUCUGGCAUCGAUGAAGAACGCAGCGAAAUGCGAUAAGUAAUGUGAAUUGCAGAAUUCAGUGAAUCAUCGAAUCUUUGAACGCACAUUGCGCCCGCCAGCAUUCUGGCGGGCAUGCCUGUUCGAGCGUCAUUUCAACCCUCAAGCUCUGCUUGGUGUUGGGGCCCUACAGCUGAUGUAGGCCCUCAAAGGUAGUGGCGGACCCUCCCGGAGCCUCCUUUGCGUAGUAACUUUACGUCUCGCACUGGGAUCCGGAGGGACUCUUGCCGUAAAACCCCCAAUUUUCCAAAGGUUGACCUCGGAUCAGGUAGGAAUACCCGCUGAACUUAAGCAUAUCAAUAAGCGGAGGAA